GUAAAAUAGAUAUUUAUUUUUUAAAGAACAGAGAUUAUCUUUUGGUAAUGUUAUGUUGUGUGACCACAGUCUGCAACAUUUCCUAUUUCCAAAUAUCAUAAACUGUAAAUAUGCCAACACAUCUAACGAUUGUCUCAGUUUUACAUGACCUACUUCAAUAUGAUAAUAAAACAAUGUUUAAUUAAGCAUCAAGAACAGCUAACACAAAUUACACAGGCUGUAAAGCAGCAAUCACCAGUCUUGGCACUACAAAAUCGAUGCUCUACAUGUCUGAUGUUGCUCAAGCGGCCCUUGGGCUUUGCAAAUAUUGGUGGAAAUAUUUUCUGUGACAGCACACUUCACUGGCUUUAAGCUGAGCCUCAUGGGAAACGUAGUUUAACAACAUCUGCAGUGUCAAGGUUCAGUUAUCACUGUUGUAAAGCUCAACAAUGGGAAAACAUUUCUCAUGAAUACUGUCUUGAUUUCGGUGGUCUCCUGGAAGCCUCAAUCAAUAAUGAAAUGACAGUUUUAUUAAACAUACUGAUUCCGGUAAAGCAGGCAAACAUAUCCAUGACGGCUCUCUGUCACCAGAUGGUAGACAGACAUUUAUUUUUAUUGAUAGCAAACAGGGUGUGCAAACAUUACCUCGUUCCUUGAUAAAGCAUGAUAUUCAAAUCAAUAAUCCGGAGGCAGUGCUAGAAACAUUUUCAGCUGAGCAAAUUAAAAGAGUGCUACUCAUGGGUCUUGUUAAAGAAAGUUUAAAAAAAUUGAUAUUUAAUGAUUCACCCUACGCAAAAAUCUCAUGCUCAUGGCGAAUUUGUCUGUGCAGUUGGAUACGCUGAUUACUAAAAUGUUUUUAUUUUGUUUUGAAAUGCCAAAAACAGCAGCCAUGUCAAUACGCUCUGAGUAUAAAUUCUCUCUAGUUAAGACAUUUUGAGGCUUUCCACAAUAAUACUUUUUGUUUUGUUUUACAGAGUGCAAAAUACAAAGGGUUUAAUUUCUAAAGGUGGAAUCGUAAUACAUUGAAAGGUAUACUGUAAAAUCUAGGUAAGGUAGCCUAAAUUGCAUCGACCAAUUGACUACAGGGAAGUUUUUGCCUAAAAAAUUGCAAAAUUCAAAUUUCAGUUCACUACAAUUUGGUGUCAAGUGAGUUAACUCCAACCACUCUGGAAAAUGUUGGCUAAAAGCAAUAAAUUGCUUAUUUUAGCGGGUUACAGGAAAUAGGGCAUGUUCAGGUUUCCUAUACAGUGAAAUAAGAUGUUUAAAAAUAUUUUGUAUUUUUCUAUCUGAUCAAUUACUUCACAAAAUAUGCAGAAGACGUUUAAUUUAUCUCCUGUAGCAAUAUUUAAUUCUACCCCUAUCUUAAUGUGUAAUGGACUCUCUCCUGCUAAUGUACACCUGGCAUACAAUAUCAUUUAAAAUCCAAAGUAGUGACCUUUAGAAUCCACACAGUUGAACACACAGGAAGCAGUGAAUGCAGAGCCAUUCGGGAAUACAGUACUGUACGAUGACUAUGUAUUGCUACUGCAGGUAUACAGGUGCCAAACUCAUAGGCAAAAUAUAUUUGUUAAAGAAAAAAGACAAAGUCAAUAUACAAAGUGACAUCCAGUCAGCAUAAUAUUUUAUAUAUUGUGUAUUAAUAUUGGUUUUGUAUUUUAUUGUACCCUACUGUAUCAAUGUAAUGUUUUGUGGACCCAGGACAUACUUGAAAACGAGAGAAAUCUCAAUGUAUCUUUCCUGGUAAAUUAUUUGAUAAAUAAGUAAAUAUAAAGUAACUUUUCAAGUGCAGUCACUGCUAUAAAGCAUCUUCUGUUUAGUUAGAAGAUAGCUGUAGACUAUACGUGUCAUAAUGCUCAUACUACCAGCAUCAGGAGAGAUAUAAUUCACAACUUCUGGAGUGCCAAAGGUUGCCUACUCCUGUUCUGGCACAUAGAAAGAGAAACACGUGAAUAUUGAAAUCUCUGCUGGGGGUCCUGGAGCACACAAAUGUUCUGUAGAAUGUUAUCUAGCGUUUAGACUCCAACAUAAAGCUAACUUGCUAGCCCUAGAGGGAUACCCAAACAACACAUGUGUAGGAAGUUCAUACACUUUUGCCUUGCUUGCAAGCAUACUUUACUUCCUUCAUAACUCCAGAUACUAAUUAUGUGGAAUUUAUCCCAAACAGACCGUUCAACUAACCUCCCAGCUUACAACUGUAAUACCUAUUUUUAACCUCCACUCAAAAAUUUAGUUCCAUCCUCAAAUCACGUCUUCCAUAUCUGUCUCCUUCUCUCUGUUGGUUGUUUGGAAGCAUGUUGACCUAUCCAUGACACUACAUGCUUAUACCAUAACAUCUCCCUAGCCCGUCAUGGUGUUCUCUAACUGCUCCAUAGCACAAGAGGUUUCUAAUGUUUCUUAAUCCUAAUUUCAUAAUGUCCACAAACAAAAUGAUCAAUAAGUCACCAAAACAUAUGUAUUAAUAGUAUCGUCACUAAGACCUACCCUGAAAAGUCACUACUUUGAAGUCAUCUUUGAUUGUGCCUUCUUCUAAAAUCCAAUUAAUCUUGGAAGCCUUCCACUUCCAGCUUAAACACAGAGCUCACAUUCUUCCAUCCAUUUCUAACAAGAGAUGGAACAAUAGCACCUGUUUAUAUACCCUUCACCUCCUGUCUUGGUUAUUGCGACCCACCUUUCAUUGGUCUAACACAUGUCCAGCUUACCCCAUCCCAGUUUAUGAUGAGUGAUGCAGCCAGACUUAUCAUCCUUACCCACAAUUUUCACAUUUUCACGGUAUCAUCUAAUAUUUAUUUUAAAAUCACUGACCUACAAACCCUACUCAUGUGCCUAACUUGUUUUCCCAAAUACAUGUUUGUAUAAUGUAUCUAUUGUAUGAUAUAGCAGAUAAUAUUGCUGCCAUUAGUAACGUUCCUAUGCCUUAAAAAAAAAAAAAAGCGUGCUCUCAUUACAAGUUGACCACAUAAAAUGUUUUUGUCAACAUAUGCAUUUUGCUAUUAUUUAAUA
rnacentral:lncRNA from 1 species